rnacentral:lncRNA from 1 species
CUCGAGUUGGCUGUUUUCGGCCGUUUUCGGCCGAAUUCGGCCACACUCGCAUCGGUCCUUGUCAGAAAACAACCCUAGGGCCCUCGGGGGGCCAAAAAAAUCACGGAAAAGCGGAGCUUACCGGCGGCGGCGCUCUCGGGUACGGCGACCCUCCGGCGAGGUUCGUGUUUUGGUGAUUUGGCUUCGGUCAACCUGUAGAGAAAAGAAUGGUGAUCACGGUGAUAUAAAAAUUGCAUCGAACGGAGGCCGGGAAGGGCCUCGUCGGAGGCAAAAACCGAGAGGGGGCGCGGCGCCGCCGCUGGGCUUCGGCCGCGUAUUCCGGCCGUUUGGCCGGGAUUUCGGCUUCGAUUUGGCCAUAGGAGGAAUCAGUGGGGAAAAACGAGUCGGGGGUAUGAAAUUUACCUCGAUCGGCGGUCGGAAAUUUCCCCGGUGCGGCGGCGAGUGGCGGCGGGUGGCGGCGGUCGGCCUCUGGUUCGUCUUCUCCGGCGAGCGGCUGGCGGCUAGGGUUUGUGGUCUGGUGUGGGGGUUCUAUUUAUAACCCCUUGCCUUUUGAUCACAGCCGUUCAUUUCAUUUUAAUCUGGGCCGUUCGUUUUUGAUUGAAUCUGGG